UCGGACGUGGUGCACGGCGCACACCCGCCUUCCCUAAAUCGGCAAGUUCCACACUUGGCUUAGAGCGGGAAGACUGGGUUCGAUUCCCAGCGUCCGAA